ensembl:lincRNA
AUGAAACAGAUUUUGGGAACUCACAUCUGUAACAUUAUCAACAAUGAAAAUGGAAGGAGGACAAUGAGGAUGCCAAACAACCAGAUUUCAGAGCAGUUAGGCAGGACACGGCGAUCCAGAGUCAUCGUGACUACUUCCUGGUCAGAGGAAGAAAGUGAAGUUCAUGGAGCAGACACGAUCAAGCCUCCUAUGACUAGAAACAGAGCUGAGUCUAUAACUGGUGACUUUCUUUCUAAUCUUUCUGGGCUAUUUUUUGGGGGCUUUUUGCAGCGCCAACAGGCUAUAUGUCUGGAAGUCACUGGAAAGGAGAGGAGUCCCAUGGUCUCAAGAUUGUACAUGGGUUAAGUUGUUUGUUCCUUUCUGAGAAAAGGUAAGGAUGUUGGGGUAGGAUAUAGGUCAGAAGACAAACUGGACAAUGAGAAUAGCCUUCUAUUUUUGUUUCUUCUUUGUUUUGCUGGCUCGUGAGGAAAUAGGGAAACAUGAAGACUGCCAGAAACAUACCCUCUCAUCUGUUAUUUUGCUUAUAUAGGACCCUUUUAGUGGCCAAACCCACUCAGUCUCCAUGUUUCCCAGUGGAAAGAGUUCUGUUAAGAGCCAUCCUCUUCUAUGAGUGCACCUUUAUGGAGCUGACCAGAGGGAAAAGUAAUUGAAUUUAAUAAAAGCUGCUCCCAAUAUAAAGCCACAGGGAAAUACAUUUAACUUCAAAGCCAAGAUGCAUGGUUCCUAAAUAUAAUUAAUUGCCUGCCUGUUUCUUCCAUCAAAUCUGAAUGUGACAGUAAAGAAGUGAAUUUGUUGGCAUUUUUUAUUUUACAGUAACAUGAACUCUGUGCUGAUAGUUAGGACUAGAUUGAUAAAAAUCAUUCUCAGAAAUGUCAUUCUUUAGAUUUGUCAAAGUUGCCAACAGCUGUAAUUCUUACCCCAUCUACUUAAAAGGACUAGCAAUGGUACUGAGUAAUCCUAACAGAGUUGUCAAAGGUCAGAGUUGAGCACAGUGCUUUCUGCUGCUUAACCUUCUUCCCUCCAAAAGGGGGAAAAAAAGAGGGAAAGUCUUUUUUUUAAGUAACCCCAUUUAGAGAACUUGUCUGUUUUCAGUGCCCUUGUUAGCAGUUUUUAGCAAUUUAGUUAAACACAGAUUUAAGAGCAGGAAGCUAUCAUUGUCUGAUUCCACACAGGGGCUAGUGCCUCCAACUCAGCACAAAAGUGAGUGUAAUUUGUCUCAGGUGACCUGGUAUGAAUGCUGUGCUCCUUUCAUAUUAUGAUUUGGAAACCUCACCCCAAGGUGCUUGUAUUAGCAGGUGCAGACUUUUGGAAGUGAUGAGGGCAAUGGCCAUGAGUGAAAUCAGUCACCCUAUAAAUGAAGUGCCUGAGAGCGUCCUCAUCCCUUACACCAUGGGAGGACACAGCAAGAAGGAACAAUCUAUAAGCCAGAAAGUGCGCUCUCAGCAGACAUGAAUCUGCUGGCAGCUUGGUCUUGGGCUUCCAGCUUCUAUACACAUGAGCAGGUGAUUUCUGUUGGUUAUAGGCCACCCACUCUAUUGCAUCUUAUUAAUAAAAUGGGAGAAAAACCCCAGGGUGUGCAGGGCCCACACGACUCCUGCUGAGGGCACUUCUGACUUGCGUGUCACCAUUCUCUGGGUCAGCGCUCCUCUCCAGGUGGCAUCUAAGGCCAGGCCCUUUCCCUCUCUUCCUCUUGCAAGCAAGGCUGGUGGUUUUUCUUUCUGUGAAGUGAUGUAAGGUGUGACGGUGGCUAUAAGAGGGAGAGGUUAUUGUAAGAACACAGACUGGUUAGGACCUUCACUCAGAUUCUCUUCUGCAGGCAAAAGCACAGGACACCCCAGGUGGGCUGGAGAAACAUUCACUGAAAGGUCUUUUGUGCUGAUAGCAUCAUCAGUCAUGAGAAGAGACAGUUUUUCACAAAACAUUAACUUCAUACUAAAUCAUUUGCAUCUAGAAGCAUCUCUAAGAGAAGUAAUGGACACGUGGAAAAGAGAGAUGUAACUUAUUCAUGAACAAAUGUGCCAAAAAGUUAACAAAAUGUAGGAGC